rnacentral:lncRNA from 1 species
UCUCUUCUUCGAUCGGGCUCUUCAGCGCUGCUGGCCAACCACAGGACCAAGCAGCUGCCGCCUCCCUCCAGGGGCCUGACCUGCUUCAACUCUGAUCCCCAGGCUGUGAGCCCGUCUCUGGACCACGGGGUGCUCGCUAAGCCCCGCGCUCUGGGGGUCAGGAGGGACCUUGGGAGAACCAGCCCUCCUAGCCCUAGUCUGGAAAUGCCAGACCUGGGACUGCUCAGAGCCAGAGUCCUGGUUCCCCCCAGCCUCUCAUGCAUCCCCAUGCCAAAGAUCCACUGAAGAGUUCACAUAAUCAAACAUGACAUGUUAUAUACUGUAUAACAUCCCUCCUCUUCCACCUCCUCAUGGUUCCUGCUCACCAUGUGUGUGUCCAUAUGUGCGUGUGCCCACAGCUCCUUAUGGACAUUCAGGAACUGCCCUUAACUAUUGUUUGAACUUCUGCUGAACUGAACAGAAUAUGUAGCAUAGUCGUGUCUUAAAAUUUACAAAAUGUAAAGGUACAGUGCACAUCUAUUCAAAAUGGCUCCCACAGGUUAUGACUGAGAUAUACUGAAGGACUGUUUUAUCCUUUAUAAAAUGUCCAGUCACUUGCUUAGCAGCCUUUUAUUACACAUUGUCUUAUGCAGAAAAAGAAUGACUAGCAUUCAUAGUUUCUCUUUGCUAAUCUCUCACAUGUACUGUACAUGUUUUUUUAAAGAAUGUUCCACUCAACUCUACUCAAACUCACAUGGGUCCUUCCAUUGAAACAGCAGCACAUGGUUUGACUACAGGCUUACAUGACCUCAGAAAUGUUCAAUUCCUCCCAGAGUGUAAAAAAUAGAAUGAAAGAAAAAAAGCAGAUUGGGGAAAGAAAUAAGGAGUGGAGUUUUCUGCUUAAACAGGAAAUGGGUUGAAAGAACAAUCGUUGACUAGAAAGUUUUAAGUAUUUCCUCUAGAGUAUGUCCUUCCACUAAACUCCCUGAUGUACCUCUUUCAGACCAAGUGACAGGCACCACUAACUCCCUGAUGUACCUCUUUCAGACCAAGUGAAAGGCACCACUAAACUCCCUGAUGUACCUCUUUCAGACCAAGUGACAAGUACCACUAACUCCCUGAUGUACCUCUUUCAGACCAAGUGACAGGCACCACUAAACUCACAGUGAACUCCUGAACCCUGAGUAACAUAGGUUUACCAUAUAGUAUCUACUAGAUAGUUUUGGUUCGGUAAUGGACUGAUUAAGACAACAUUAUUGAACAUCACUUCAUUACAUUUAGGCUACUUUAGAUACUAUUAUUUAAAGAUUUAGCACCCAUAAUUCGACCACAAAGGAUUAAGAUAACUUUUUUUUUAAGUACGCACAUACAGUCACACAAGGAAUCUUUGCUCAAGCAUAAACACAAUUACAACUCUCGCACAACUCCCCUGAAUUAAACACAGUUCAUCUUGAAGUCCUGUUCCAUCUUGUGUGUGUGUGUGUGUGAGACCAGGUUUCCAUCCAGCCUUUUUAUGCAAGUAAAGUAAAUGUCAGAUAAAAAAUGUAAUGACAGGAAUGAUAAAAACUUUCCAAAUGUCGACAAAACUAAAUACGCUAGACAAGAUGGGAUUAUUUUGGGUCGGUAAAAUUAUUUAUGUGAGAAAUGUCUGUUGACACACUUUUAUGCCAAAAUAUGUACAGUUGAAGUCGGAAGUUUACAUACACCUGAGCCAAAUACAUUUAAACUCAGUUUUUCACAAUUCCUGACAUUUAAUCCUGGUAAAAAAUUCCCUGUCUUACGUCAGUUAGGAUCACCACUUUUAUUUUAGGAAUGUGAAAUGUCAGAAAAAUAGCAGAGAAUGAGUAAUUUUAGCUUUUAUUUCUUUCAUCACAUUCCCAGUGGAUCAGAAGUUUACAUACACUCAAUUAGUAUUUGGUAGCAUUGCCUUUAAAUUGUUUAGCUUGGGUCAAAUGUUCCGGGUAGUCUUCCACAAGCUUCCCGCAAUAAGUUGGGUGAAUUUUGGCCCAUUCCUCCUGACAGAGUCGGUGUAACUGAGUCAGAUUUGUAGGCCUCCUUGCUCGCACACACUUGUUCAGUUCUGCCCACACAUUUUCUAUGGGAUUGAGGUCAGGGCUUUGUGAUGGCCACUCUAAUACCUUGACUUUGUUGUCCUUAAGCCAUUUUUUCCACAACUUUGGAAGUAUGCUUGGGGUCAUUGUCCAUUCGGAAGACCGAUUUGCGAACAAGAUUUAACUUCCUGACUGAUGUCUUGAGAUGUUGCUUCAAUAUAUCCAUAUAAUUUUCCUACCUCAUGAUGCCAUCUAUUUUGUGACGUGCAGCAGUCCCUCCUGCAGCAAAGCACCCAUGAUCCUGCCCCCCUGUGCUUCACGGUUGGGAUGGUGUUCUUCGGCUUGCAAGCCUCCCCCUUUUUCCUCCAAACAUAAUGAUGGUCAUUAUGGCCAAACAGUUCUAUUUCUGUUUCAUCAGACCAGAGGAUAUUUCUCCAAAAAGUACGAUCUUUGUCCACAUGUGCAGUUGCAAACCGUAGUCUGGCUUUUUAUGGUGGUUUUUCAGCAGUGGCUUCUUCCUUGCUGAGUGGCCUUUCAAGUUAUGCCGAUAUAGGGCUCGUUUUACUGUAGAUAUAGAUACUUUUGUACCUGUUUCCUCCAGCAUCUUCACAAGGUCCUUUGCUGUUGUUCUGGGAUUGAUUUGCACUUUUUGCACCAAAGUAAGUUCAUCUCUAGGAGACAGAACGCGUCUCCUUCCUGAGUGGUAUGCUGGCUGCGUAGUCCCAUGGUGUUUAUACAUGCGUACUAUUGUCUGUACAGAUGAACGUGGUACCUUCAGGCAUUUGGAAAUUGCUCCCAAGGAUCAACCAGACUUGUGGAGGUCUACAAUUUUUUUCUGAGGUCUUGGCUGAUUUCUUUUGAGUUUCACAUGGUGUCAAGCAAAGAGGCACUGAGUUUGGCCUUGAAAUACAUCCACAGGUACACCUCCGAUGAACUCAAAUUAUGUCAAUUAGCCUAUCAGAAGCUUCUAAAUCCAUGGCAUCAUUUUCUGUAAUUUUCCAAGCUGUUUAAAGGCACAGUCAACUUAGUGUAUGUAAACUUCUGACCAACUGGAAUUGUGAUACAGUGAAUUAUAAGUGAAAUAAUCUGUCUGUAAACAAUUGUUGGAAAAAUUACUUGUGUCAUGCACAAAGUUGAUGUCCUAACGGACUUGCCAAAGCUAUAGUUUGUCAACAAGAAAUUUGUGGAGUGGUUGAAAAACUAGUUUUAAUGACUCCAACCUAGGUGUAUGUAAACUUACGACUUCAACUGUAUAUAAUGAACAUCAUAUUGAACGAGUCACGCGAUGUCAUGUUGUGUGGUCCUCCCACUACAACUCUUCUGGAAGGUAUGCAGUUUAUUAGGCUACAGAUGAAAUAUGUAAUGGUUUACUUCACCUGGUGGUGAAAGUGGUGUUGAGCAAGGUGAUGAGCUUGAUACUCUUUUCCAAUAAAUAUCAAUGGUCUUUUUCUGGUGAUAUGAUCAUCGAUGCUUGGCUGCCGUUUGACAAAUAAAAAUGAUCUCUCUUUUGUCCAUAAUAAUCUCAUCAUGUAGGCUAUAACCGCACUGUAUCUGCGAGUUGUUGGCUAGAGUGGGCUCACUUGCUAUAUAACACAACAUUUUUUGUAAGAAAACCAUCAGUAGAGUUGAAAGUGCGAUGGAAACACAUUUCAUUUCGGUACAUGGGAAUUUAACUGCAAAAUGUAUUUUUACGUGCACUACAUCAUCACACAACCUUUUAUCCACAACAAGUCAAUUUGAUGGAAUCACAUCUCUGGUGGGAAAAUGCGCAUAUUGUUUUUAUUCAGAUUUUAGAAUAUUCACAUGAAAAUCUGUCGCCAGUUGGAUGGAAACCUAGCUUGUGUCUGUUUUGUGUGAGAGAGAAUAUUUGUGUUUGCCAUGGUGAGAUGUCUUCCCAUGCCAUACGGACCUGUCAGUCAACACUGCUUGGUAAUGCCAAACAGAUAAAUCGAUAAGAGAGAGAGAGAGAAAGAGAGAGACAGAGAGAGAUGUGUGGUACGGUCCGGAGAAUAGCCCAAAAGUCUCACCCCGCUGUGUGUGUCUCUAGAUACACAAAUCUGGCAGUGGGUGUGUGUGAGAGAUGUAUAAUAUAUGCCAACAGACCACAGAAAUCAUGCUAGGGAGGAAGGGUAGUGCUGUUCUGUCCAUCAGCCAUUCAAUAGCUUUCAUCAAUAAUUCUAAAGCAGGAGUCUAGCUAGCUCAGGGGUGUCCAACAGGUCGAUCUCGCAGCCCGCCUGGGAGUAACUCGCCAAACAAACUGUGUAAUCACAAACGGUCAUAAACAAAUCUCACAAAAUAUCAGACACUGCGAGGUCCCGGGUACUAUCCAAUCAAAGCCACAUUGUCUUUAUUCCACAGCUGGUUAGCAACAAUUGGCAUAGAAAGCAAAACAUAACACAAUAUUUGCCAAUUCAUUUCCAUCAAUCUUGCCCCUGUCUGUGUGGUGCACGCAUUUGUCGAUCACCUUUUCUAGCCAGUUAGCGAUGCUAAUGAUAGCCGUAUUGAGUGUAGACAUAAACGCUUUUCCCAAAACCUUUCUCUAUUAAAUGUUACUUGAAAAGUAAGUCUACCAGACACAAUGGUAUCAUGAUUAUUUGUAUCAACUGGGUAGGCAUUUGUUUUGCAAACUCUGCCAUGAUGUGCAGUAGACCUACAUCAACAUCGCUAGCCAAACACAUUCCUCUAUUGCUAGGUGCACAUUCAAACAUUUAUAUUUGUAAUUUUUUUGUCAAAACCUCAACAUUUUUUAUUCUGAUGUGAUUUAUAUAUUGGCAUGGACUCUAAACAUCCAAUUUUGUGGGUCCUCUAUAAGUAAUUGUAAUUUUGAGAGUGAAACAGAAAAGGAUAGAAAGGAAAUACAAAUAAAUUAGUAGCUCGCAACAUUUUAAAAGUAGCUCUAAUGUCAGAAAAUGUUGGAGACCCCUGAGCUAGCUAAACCACAACAAAGAGCCCUAAGCUGCAGUAAAACAAGUUCAAUGAAUUUGCCAUUUCUAGCACAUUCUCUUUAGUAGAGAAACGAACUGCCUGUUUUGUACAUUGUGUUAGUUAAUGGGACACCGAAGGGACAUAGCUGCCUGCCUAUCAUCAUUAGGAUAGUAUACUUAACUGUUUUGUAGUUAUUGCUAAAGAAUACUGAUUUAAUGCAAUUGAGCAGGUUAAAUUUAGGACAGGGUUGUCCCCUCUGCUGUUUUGAUGUCUGUCCAGGUUUUGGGCUUACACUGAUCACAUGUCUAACAACAUGGUUAGUUAAUUCAUAUUCGUAAGUCUACCUGCACUAUUUAUGCAACAGGACUGCAGUUCCCUCGUGUUUCCCCACUACUUACACAUAUACCACUAUUAUUUACACACCCCUUACCUCAUCUGUAGCAACAUUUUACACAGCUUUUAGCUCAUUUGUUGAUUAAUUACUUACUAUGGUGUAAUUGCAACCUUAGAGAGAGGUAUUUGUUUGUCUUAAAUAUUCAUAAAAACAAUACAUUUCUAGUUCCUGUAUUUCAUGUCGAAUCACUUAUCAGCUCCAUCCUGCUGUAUUGCAUUGUCCCAUACUCUAUUGAAUUAGGAACUAUAUUAACCGAUAUCGAUACUGAUAUUGAAUCAACGCUAUGUCUAACAACUGUUGCUAAACUUUAUGCAAAUGCAUAAGAAAAAGUCAAAAGCUUAGCUAUUCAGAGAUGCACUUUAAAUGAUGUAGGUGAAGCUGAAAGAGCACUAAACUGGAAAUAGGCUACUCAUUUUUUUACUAGAUUUUUGGUCAUGUUAUUCUUUCUCCCUGUUUGUACUGCACUGACAUUCUCUCUCAGCAAGGUUGUGCGAGACCACAAUAAAGGCUCUACCAAACC